GGAGGUUAAGGCACUCACUCAAGGUCACACACCUAGUUAAUAGGGAGUCUAGCUUCAAACCCACAUCUGACUGAAUCUAAUUCCACCUACAGCUUUGAAGGCUCAGAAAACAUAACUGCUUGAAAAACUGAGUUAACUCUAUGACUGCCAGGACAAAAGCUUAGAAUUUAGAAAUGAAACAAUGAAUAAGUAGACAUUUUGCUCUCGUUUUGUUAUUUUUUACUUUAUUUUCCAAAUAUGUUUAGGUUAAAGAAAAGAACAUGGGAUUUAGAGUCAAAUAGGCAGGUGUUUUGAUUCUACCCUUGCUAACUCUGUGACCUUUGGACAGCCUACUUUGUCCAGUGGAGGCAGCCAUCCCAUUCCAACUGACAUUUGUGGGAUAUUAGAGACCAAGAAGUGUUAAGAGAUGAUCUUCACAAAAUGCUGAGCUUGUGUGGGUGUGGAACUACAAACAGGAGAAGACGGAUAUUCACAUGCGGUGGUGGAGGGUUAUGGCUCUCCAGCCUGGAGGAUUGGAGCUUGAGCCAGGAAAGAAGCUUUCAUUUGCAUCAAUAUGCUAGUCCAUGGAGUACACAGAUUGUUCUACAAACCAUAUGGUGACUAAGCCUCAUUAUUGAAUGCAGUUGACAUGGAAACAACUAGUCAACAUCAAAUAAAUAGAUUAUUUUGUGCAAAUAGCUGCCUCUUUGUGACAAUAAUAAAUACUUUAUUUG